rnacentral:rRNA from 1 species
CAGGGGCGCCGUUGGUGACCAGCGGAGGGAUCAUUACCGAGUUUACAACUCCCAAACCCCUGUGAACAUACCAAUUGUUGCCUCGGCGGAUCAGCCCGCUCCCGGUAAAACGGGACGGCCCGCCAGAGGACCCCUAAACUCUGUUUCUAUAUGUAACUUCUGAGUAAAACCAUAAAUAAAUCAAAACUUUCAACAACGGAUCUCUUGGUUCUGGCAUCGAUGAAGAACGCAGCAAAAUGCGAUAAGUAAUGUGAAUUGCAGAAUUCAGUGAAUCAUCGAAUCUUUGAACGCACAUUGCGCCCGCCAGUAUUCUGGCGGGCAUGCCUGUUCGAGCGUCAUUUCAACCCUCAAGCCCCCGGGUUUGGUGUUGGGGAUCGGCGAGCCCUUGCGGCAAGCCGGCCCCGAAAUCUAGUGGCGGUCUCGCUGCAGCUUCCAUUGCGUAGUAGUAAAACCCUCGCAACUGGUACGCGGCGCGGCCAAGCCGUUAAACCCCCAACUUCUGAAUGUUGACCUCGGAUCAGGUAGGAAUACCCGCUGAACUUAA